UACGUAGGGGGCAAGCGUUGUCCGGAUUUAUUGGGCGUAAAGCGCGCGUAGGCGGCGCGGUAUGUCGUGCGUGAAAUCUCCCGGCUUAACUGGGAGGGGCCGUGCGAAACUGCCGGGCUUGAGGUCGGAAGGGGAAAGUGGAAUUCCGGGUGUAGUGGUGGAAUACGUAGAUAUCCGGAGGAACACCGGUGGCGAAGGCGGCUUCCUGGACCGACACUGACGCUGAGGCGCGAAAGCUAGGGGAGCAAACGGG
rnacentral:rRNA from 1 species